rnacentral:misc_RNA from 1 species
CGUACACCGCAGCAACACCUUCUUUUACCGAAAAACACUGUAAAUUAUACAAUUUACCGAGCAACGCGUCAGCCCACGCCCCCCUCCCCCCCGAAGCUGCAGGAAAUAUUACCCAGGGCUGACUGCCGAUGACAAGAUAUGGUUACUCGAUAAUGUUAUGAAUCACAGCUGGUCUCUGGAAUAUAGGCGGAGCUGCCGGGCGGAGGAGUGACUUGUAUAUAGUGAUAUCGGACGACAUGCUUGCGGCCUUUGGAUUUUAUCUGCGCAUAUUUGCAAGGCAAAGUCAAGCCGGAGGCGCAAUUACACCUGACAAGAAAUAGGGAAGAGUCGAAGUGCCGUGACGUAAGGUAAUCGCGGUUGCGGCCGACCUUCCCAGCUGAUUAAAAUUACGCUUGAAAUGGCGACGGGUCAAUAAUCGGAAAGCAAAGAAUUGGAAACGGAACGACGCCAAGGCCGAUGCCAACUUUUGUCGUCUACGAAGUGAAAUAAGCGCCAAGUGUUGAUCUUAUUCAAGAGAUCAGUCGAAACUGCGAUGAUGGGUUGUUCGAUCGCCGUGCGAUAAGAGCGUCGAAGUGCUUCCGGCUUUGAUUAAGGGAAGAAGCGCAAGCAAAACGAAAGGCAAGUUAACGGGACGACGAGAUGCGGAUCUACAGGGCGAAACUUGGGCGUUGAACGAAUAGAGCGGCCAGGAAGCGGCUGGUGCCCAGUGGGCUGUGCGAAGCCGAUUUGACACAAAAUGGCUUCUGGGGAUAAUGUGGAUGUGAUUGAGGUUGUUGAAUCGAGUUUCACAUCCCCGGAUUUGGAGAUGGUGGACCGGGUAGGACGCGGCUUCGCCAUGGAAGAUGAAGAUAAGUCCACCGGGGAGAAAGUUACAGCCUUGGAAGUACCCACAACGCAUCAUGGCUCUGGUGGUCCCAAAACUUCGUCGGGUAUAUCCCGAAACAAAUCGGAAAGGGAAAGAAAAAUUGGCCAUCGGAGAGUCGGAGUGGGAGGUGAAAUCACAUAUAAAAAGAUUCAAACGACACAAAUCAUGGGAUCCAUUCAACUAGGGAUCCAGCACGCUGUUGGGGGUCUUGCUAGUAAACCAGAGCGAGAUCUUCUUAUGCAGGAUUUUAUGACAGUGGAAACGACCAACUUUCCCAGUGAAGGGUCCAAUCACACACCUGCUCAUCAUUUCUCCGAAUUCAAGUUCAAAAACUAUGCUCCUAUUGCCUUUCGGUACUUCAGAGACCUAUUUGGCAUUCAACCUGACGACUUUUUGAUGUCAAUGUGCAGCUCCCCACUCAGGGAGUUGUCUAAUCCUGGCGCAAGUGGUAGCAUAUUUUAUCUGACAGAAGAUGAUGAGUUUAUCAUCAAAACUGUUCAACACAAAGAAGGGGAAUUUUUGCAGAAGCUGCUACCUGGAUAUUACAUGAAUUUGAACCAGAAUCCUCGAACGUUACUUCCAAAAUUUUUUGGGCUGUAUUGUUACCAGUGCAAUAGUAAAAAUGUCAGAUUAAUCGCAAUGAAUAAUCUGCUUCCGUCGGCCGUCAAGCUACAUCAGAAAUACGAUUUGAAAGGUUCCACUUAUAAAAGAAAAGCUUCCAAAUCCGAAAGAUCCAAGUCAUCUCCUACGUAUAAAGAUUUGGAUUUUAUGGAGCAUCACGCCGAAGGUAUUUUCUUGGAAGCUGAUACUUAUGGGGCACUUGUUAAAACGAUACAGCGAGACUGUAGAGUAUUGGAGAGCUUUAAAAUUAUGGACUAUUCUCUCCUAGUUGGAAUUCAUAACUUGGAUCAAGCGGCUAGGGAAAAAGCAGAACAGAGGUUAUCGGCAAGUGCGGAUGAAGAAACCGGCGGAGCAAGUUCUGAGGCCGGUGCCCUUAUUCAAGCGGAAAAGGAGAGGGAAAGAGAAGACAGGAUUGGCGCGGCUGCGUUGAAUCGAUCUCGAAGUAUUAACAGGCAAAGAUUAGUAGCGCACAGUACUGCGAUGGAAAGUAUUCAGGCCGAGAGCGAACCUAUCGAUGAAGAAGAUGAUGUACCCAGUCCGGGUGGUAUACCAGCUAGAAAUGCAAGAGGCGAACGUCUCCUACUUUUUCUCGGCAUCAUUGACAUACUUCAGAGUUACAGACUGAAGAAAAAGCUUGAGCACACAUGGAAGUCCAUGAUUCAUGACGGGGAUACAGUUUCCGUGCAUAGACCUGGUUUCUACGCUCAGCGCUUUCAAGAUUUCAUGGCAAAAACUGUUUUCAAGAAGAUUCCGUCACUGGACCUGCCUGAGAUUAAGGGAAACCAUCGCAAGUUCCGUAACCUGGUCACCAGCUACAUAGCUCUGAAACAUUCCCCUUCGAAACGGAAAAGUAUUACGAGGCCACUGAGACCGUUGGAAGGAGACUUUGAUUCCACAGCAGCGUCUGGAAGUUCAGCAGUGCAUGCUUCAACGAACUCCAAGCCUGCAAGCCCCACCGAGUUGCCUGCCUCAUCCAUAGUCAUAUCUGCUGCACCCACAAUAUCCACAACGUCCAUUCCAAACGCGACAUCAACUCCGAUAAACUUGCCCACUGUUUGCAAACCCGUUACGCCUCCGUCUCUGCUCUUUGGCACGGCAGAUGAAACCAACCACCAUGAUAUAACAAGCUUUGGUACGUCAAGUUACCCAGCUGUUUUGAAGGGCAGACGCGGAGCCAGCCCUCCUAAUCCGAAUCUCGUUCCUUCCGGCAAAAUCCCUCCACCGGUACCUCCUAGGGGAUCUGUUUCGGGGAGAAGUCGAGUCGACGAUCAUCGGAGAGCGUCGGCGAAUAACGCGACCAUCUCCAGUCGAGGUGGUACCCUUCCCUCUACAUGCUCCACCCCACCUCCGCCAUUUGACGACGCUGUUACAUCGAACGACGCAACAUUAGCAUCGGGGGGUCACCAUUCCCAUCACGGAACAACGACGAUCCUCACUAGCAGCUUGAGUUCGUCGCAUACGAAGCAAAACAAAAUAGUGCAUCACGUUACUUUAACCAAAACCUAUCACGAUGCUGUUAGUAUAUCUGACGUGCAUUUAGAAAGCAGUGGUAGUGGCUGCGGCAGCGUCGGGCGUGAAACAAAGUCGUCCUUAAGCGUAGAAAGCGGGGGUAGCAGUCGUGGCGGUGGUGCGUUGACGUGGACACCACCUACUGGCAGUGUCGAAGGUUCUACUCCUACAUGGACUGAGGGGACGCCAUCCUUUACAGAGAGUUCGAGUAGCGGAGACAUGGGCUGUCCCACAACACCGAUUAGAAGUGGUAUGAGAGGGGAAGAGGAUAAUCGAAUUGUCGCUACAGUCGAGGAGGCAUUAGCUAGUUUGACAUCCGAAAUGACGAUGUUCGAAACUACAUGCCUGGAAUGUGAAUACUGUUAAUAAUUGCCGGCCGGAUAAUGUGUCCCAAGUGUCUGGAUGUCGUCGCCAAUAGAUUUAUAGAAAGUUUUUUUUCUCUUAUAUGUUCGACCACCAAAAUCAGUCAGCAAAAUUCCUCAGUCCGGAAAUAAAUGCGCAGCAGAGAGGACGUGCGAAAAUCGCGCU